CCGGCACUGCUCCCACUGACAGCCCCAGCACUGCCAUCACUGCCAGCCCCCAUGACACGGAUCCCGGGUGGGGAAGCUCCUGUGCCGUUUCCAGGUGAGCGGGCUGUGCCCGGUGUCCCCAGUCUGGGCUGCCGGCCCUGGUGGGGAAUGGUGGACAGGGAGGACAUCCGGAUGGUACCUGUCAAAGGGAAUCCCACGGGGGAGGGAAACAAUUGAAC